AACGAACGCUGGCGGCAGGCCUAACACAUGCAAGUCGAACGGUUGUAGCAAUACAGCCGUGGCGCACGGGUGAGUAACGCGUGGGAAUCUGCCCAGUAGUACGGAAUAACAGUUGGAAACGACUGACAAUACCGUAUACGCCCUUCGGGGGAAAGUUUUUCGCUAUUGGAUGAGCCCGCGUCAGAUUAGCUAGUUGGUGGGGUAAUGGCCUACCAAGGCGACGAUCUGUAGCUGUUCUGAGAGGAAGACCAGCCACACUGGAACGGAGACACGGUCCAGACUCCUACGGGAGGCAGCAGUGGGGGAUAUUGGACAAUGGGCGAAAGCCUGAUCCAGCCAUGCCGCGUGAGUGAUGAAGGCCUUAGGGUUGUAAAGCUCUUUUGGCGGGGAAGAUAAUGACGGUACCCGCAGAAUAAGUUCCGGCUAACUUCGUGCCAGCCGCCGCCGUAA
rnacentral:rRNA from 1 species